rnacentral:rRNA from 1 species
UACGGAGGGCGCAAGCGGUGUUCGGAAUCAUUGGGCGUAAAGCGCGUGUAGGCGGCCUGGCAAGUCGGGUGUGAAAGCCCGGGGCUCAACCCCGGAACUGCAUUCGAUACUGCCUCGCUAGAGUCCCGGAGAGGAAGGCGGAAUUCCCGGUGUAGAGGUGAAAUUCGUAGAUAUCGGGAGGAACACCAGCGGCGAAGGCGGCCUUCUGGACGGUGACUGACGCUGAGACGCGAAAGCGUGGGGAGCAAACAGG